CCUCGGAUCAGGUAGGAAUACCCGCUGAACUUAAGCAUAUCAAUAAGCGGAGGAAAAGAAACCAACAGGGAUUGCCCUAGUAACGGCGAGUGAAGCGGCAACAGCUCAAAUUUGAAAUCUGGCCCUCGGGUCCGAGUUGUAAUUUGUAGAGGAUGCUUUUGGUGCGGUACCUUACGAGUUCCCUGGAACGGGACGCCUUAGAGGGUGAGAGCCCCGUACGUUUGGAUACCAAGCCUCUGUAAAGCUCCUUCGACGAGUCGAGUAGUUUGGGAAUGCUGCUCUAAAUGGGAGGUAAAUUUCUUCUAAAGCUAAAUACCGGCCAGAGACCGAUAGCGCACAAGUAGAGUGAUCGAAAGAUGAAAAGCACUUUGAAAAGAGGGUUAAAUAGCACGUGAAAUUGUUGAAAGGGAAGGAUUUAUGACCAGACUUUUUCCUAGCGGAUCAUCCGGUGUUCUCACUGGUGCACUUCGCUAGGUUUAGGCCAGCAUCGGUUUUCGUCGGAGGAUAAAAGCUUCGGUAACGUGGCCCUCUUCGGAGGGUGUUAUAGACCGUUGUAUAAUACUCUGAUGGGGACCGAGGUUCGCGCUUCUGCAAGGAUGCUGGCGUAAUGGUCAUUAAUCACCCGUCUUGAAACACGGACCAAGGAGUCGAACAUUUGUGCAAGUGUUUGGGUGUCAAACCCUCACGCGUAAUGAAAGUGAACGGAGGUGAGAGCCCUUACGGGUGCAUCAUCGACCGAUCCUGAUGUUUUCGGAUGGAUUUGAGUAAGAGCAUAACUGUUCGGACCCGAAAGAUAGUGAACUUUGCGUGGAUAGGGUGAAGCCAGAGGAAACUCUGGUGGAGGCUCGCAGCGGUUCUGACGUGCAAAUCGAUCGUCAAAUCUGCGCAAAGGGGCGAAAGACUAAUCGAACUAUAAACCAGCGUUAAUAAAUGCUAGGUAGUUAAGAGGGGACCCGCGAGGGUCGGACAGACAAGAAUCCUAGGUUCUAGCCCUGCUACCCUGUAGCCGGGCGACGACCGACACCGCUAAAUUGCGGGGACCUCCCUAGAGGUCGUAGACUACCGCGUCCGCGCUGAAAAGCGUGGCCGCACCGAGGUUAACGCCCUCGGGUAUGGUAAUAACGCCUACGACAUCGGAAGACCUGCAGCCAACCCCUUAAAGGGGGAGCGUUCACUGACUAGACAGCGGUGGGUCGGUUACCCUGUAGCUACCCUGUAGCUACCCUGUAGCCGGCCUAAGACAUAGUCGAACCGGGCCCCGAAAGGGCGUCCGUCGUA
rnacentral:rRNA from 1 species